rnacentral:tRNA from 1 species
GAUUCCGUAAUGUAGCGGUUAUCACAUCUGCCAAACACGCUGAAAGUCCCCGGUUCGAGCCCGGGCGGAAUCA